rnacentral:tRNA from 1 species
UCGCCGUACCCGAUCCGGGGGCGGGUGGCGCGACGAGCGUGAGCCCGGUCGCGACGCCGACCGGGACGCGGUCCGGCGCCGCGACGCCGACC